rnacentral:rRNA from 1 species
CUUGGUGACAAUAGAGACAUGGAACCACCUGAAUCCAUCUCGAACUCAGAAGUGAAACGUGUCAUCGCCGAUGAUAGUGUGGGGCUUCCCCAUGUGAAAGUAGGUCAUCACCAAGUUAUUAUCCUGAAAGCCCGUUCUAACGAACGGGCUUUUUUUAUGCCUGCGAUUU